rnacentral:rRNA from 1 species
CCUACGGGUGGCUGCAGUGGGGAAUAUUGCACAAUGGGCGCAAGCCUGAUGCAGCCAUGCCGCGUGUGUGAAGAAGGCCUUCGGGUUGUAAAGCACUUUCAGCGGGGAGGAAGGCGGUGAGGUUAAUAACCUCAUCGAUUGACGUUACCCGCAGAAGAAGCACCGGCUAACUCCGUGCCAGCAGCCGCGGUAAUACGGAGGGUGCAAGCGUUAAUCGGAAUUACUGGGCGUAAAGCGCACGCAGGCGGUCUGUCAAGUCGGAUGUGAAAUCCCCGGGCUCAACCUGGGAACUGCAUUCGAAACUGGCAGGCUAGAGUCUUGUAGAGGGGGGUAGAAUUCUAGGUGUAGCGGUGAAAUGCGUAGAGAUCUGGAGGAAUACCGGUGGCGAAGGCGGCCCCCUGGACAAAGACUGACGCUCAGGUGCGAAAGCGUGGGGAGCAAACAGGAUUAGAUACCCUAGUAGUC